GGGUUUUCCCUCUCCGUUCUUGUUGCCGUUCUUCGAUAUGAUGUUUUAGAUUGUUUCGCUUAAGUUGUGCUGUGAGUCGGUGUAGUCCGAAAAGUAAAAAUCCUAGAAGCAUCUUGAGCUUAGAGAAUUCGAAAGUUUAAACGAUCUCCAUACAUCUAAAGGCUCAAGGCUUGUGAUAUUACCUUUAAAAUCAAUGCAAUUGAGCAAAGAGCUGGCACAAUACUCGAUUUCUUCAACAAAUUCUUCAAAAUAGGAAAUCAGAUUUUCUAGAGUGGCUUAUUAAUCAUUAUUGCAUUGAAUGGUGUCAAGAUUCUUCUUUCUAUAUGGUUGACGUUAUUUUAGGCUGAAUGUGAGCUGCAAAUAGGAGGGCUGGCAAUGAGAGAAC